rnacentral:tRNA from 1 species
CCGGAUGUAGCUCAGCUUGGUAGAGCGCCCGCUUUGGGAGCGGGAAGUCGCAGGUUCGAAUCCUGUCAUCCGGA